rnacentral:rRNA from 1 species
UAGGGAAUCUUCCGCAAUGGACGAAAGUCUGACGGAGCAACGCCGCGUGAGUGAAGAAGGUUUUCGGAUCGUAAAGCUCUGUUGCUAGGGAAGAAAACUAUGGAGAGUAACUGCUCGAUAGAAGACGGUACCUAAGAAGAAAGCCCCGGCUAACUACGUGCCAGCAGCCGCGGUAAUACGUAGGGGGCAAGCGUUGUCCGGAAUGAUUGGGCGUAAAGGGCGCGUAGGCGGUAAAGUAAGUUGAGUGUAUAACCCUAGGGCUCAACCUUAGGUGGCAUUCAAAACUGCUUAACUAGAGUGCAGAAGAGGAAAGUGGAAUUCCACGUGUAGCGGUGAAAUGCGUAGAGAUGUGGAGGAACACCAGUGGCGAAGGCGACUUUCUGGGCUGUAACUGACGCUGAGGCGCGAAAGCGUGGGGAGCAAACAGG